rnacentral:rRNA from 1 species
AACAUAUAAAAAUGGCAUCAUUAUUAUAUUAUAGCUUCGGCGCUUAUUGAUGGGUGUGCGGCUGAUUAGGUAGUUGGCGGGGUAACGGCCCACCAAGCCUACGAUCAGUAGCUGAUGUGAGAGCAUGAUCAGCCACACGGGCACUGAGACACGGGCCCGACUCCUACGGGAGGCAGCAGUAAGGAAUAUUGGACAAUGGGCGAAAGCCUGAUCCAGCCAUGCCGCGUGAAGGAUUAAGGUCCUCUGGAUUGUAAACUUCUUUUAUUUGGGACGAAAAAAGGGAAUUCUUUCCCACUUGACGGUACCAGAUGAAUAAGCACCGGCUAACUCCGUGCCAGCAGCCGCGGUAAUACGGAGGGUGCAAGCGUUAUCCGGAUUCACUGGGUUUAAAGGGUGCGUAGGUGGGUAGGUAAGUCAGUGGUGAAAUCUCUGAGCUUAACUCGGAAACUGCCAUUGAUACUAUUUAUCUUGAAUAUUGUGGAGGUAAGCGGAAUAUGUCAUGUAGCGGUGAAAUGCUUAGAUAUGACAUAGAACACCCAUUGCGAAGGCAGCUUACUACGCAUAUAUUGACACUGAGGCACGAAAGCGUGGGGAUCAAACAGGAUUAGAUACCCUGGUAGUCCACGCCCUAAACUAUGGAUACUCGACAUACGCAAUACAUCGUGUGUGUCUGAGCGAAAGCAUUAAGU